rnacentral:rRNA from 1 species
AUACGGAGGGUGCAAGCGUUAAUCGGAAUUACUGGGCGUAAAGCGCGCGUAGGCGGAUUGUUAAGUCUCAUGUGAAAGCCCUGGGCUCAACCUGGGAACUGCAUGGGAUACUGGCAAUCUAGAAUACAGUAGAGGGUAGUGGAAUUUCAGGUGUAGCGGUGAAAUGCGUAGAGAUCUGAAGGAACAUCAGUGGCGAAGGCGACUACCUGGACUGAUAUUGACGCUGAGGUGCGAAAGCGUGGGGAGCAAACGGGAUUAGAAACCCCAGUAGUCC